UGGUGGGUAGUUUGACUGGGGCGGUCUCCUCCUAAAGAGUAACGGAGGAGCACGAAGGUUGGCUAAUCCUGGUCGGACAUCAGGAGGUUAGUGCAAUGGCAUAAGCCAGCUUGACUGCGAGCGUGACGGCGCGAGCAGGUGCGAAAGCAGGUCAUAGUGAUCCGGUGGUUCUGAAUGGAAGGGCCAUCGCUCAACGGAUAAAAGGUACUCCGGGGAUAACAGGCUGAUACCGCCCAAGAGUUCAUAUCGACGGCGGUGUUUGGCACCUCGAUGUCGGCUCAUCACAUCCUGGGGCUGAAGUAGGUCCCAA
rnacentral:rRNA from 1 species